rnacentral:rRNA from 1 species
UACGUAGGGGCUAGCGUUGUCCGGAAUCAUUGGGCGUAAAGCGCGCGUAGGCGGCCCGGUAAGUCCGCUGUAAAAGUCAAAGGCUCAACCUUUGAAUGUCAGUGGAUACUGCCGGGCUAGAGUCCGGAAGAGGCGAGUGGAACUCCUGGUGUAGCGGUGGAAUGCGCAGAUAUCAGGAAGAACACCGACGGCGAAGGCAGCUCGCUGGGACGGUACUGACGCUGAGGCGCGAAAGCGUGGGGAGCGAACAGG